CAGGGCCUGUUUAACAAAAAAAUACAACAAACAUGUUACUCCCCAUAUGAAGUCAUUGAAAUUUUUGAGUUAUCUUUGGAUGUUAGCUUCUCACAAGUGGUCCUUACCGUUGGUUUGAUGCUUGGCAUUUUCGCACUAAGCUUGCUUCUUAUCUACCACAGAAAAUUCAAUGAAGAUCAAGGAUCAUCAUAAAGAGAGGCCUCUUGCCACCAAACUGACCCUUUUCCUUCUAAAAUUCCAUUCCCUUGAACUGUGAUUCCUCUUAGCUUUGAGAAUAAAAGCCAUUGGAAUAGACCUUUUCCCCAUGCUUUGGGGUCUGUUGGGGCUAUGAUUGUGCCAUCCAGCUAUGGAAAGAAAGAAAAGAGAGUAAUAUUAAGUAGUUAGACUAAUGAUAUUUAGCACACAGGUAUGGCAUUGAGAUCAUUUUUAUCACCGAGUGGAUUCUCUUUUUGAACCACUAAUUUACCUGAAAGACAAUGUUGGGCUCACAAUAUGGGCCAGAAAAUUCGAUGGGCCCAACAAAGAAUUCAUAUUUAGCAGGCACAAGGAGUGUUGAUGCCUCGACCUUACAAGCAGCUGCCCAUGCAGCUUGGAAUGCCUGCAUAGUACCAUAGCAAAUUAUUGUUACUGUGUUCAUUACGAAAUUAAUGCCAAUUAUUGGUGUUAAUUUACACAAAAGACAUAUAUAACUGUAUACAAUUAUUGUUGGAAUCUUGAUCCAACUGCUGUAACGAGAAUCAUUUCACUGUG